AGCAUGGCACAGUGGUUUGAGUGCUGGACUACAACUCUGGAGACCAGGAUUCAAUUCCCUGAUAGGCCA